UCGCCGUCUCUUUUCCUUUAUCCCCCUUUCGCUCGAUCUCCGCCAACCCAACCUCGCGACGGCGCCUCCACACCCGAGCUCACGGCGACGAUGAGUCCAUCGGUCGGCAAAACCUCCUAGGCCUCUAACCCUCGACGACAGCGUCACCAGAGCUUCUUCCUCUCCUCGGAUUUCAGCUGCACACGGCGAAUCUUCAGUCGAGAGGAGUAAAUCUGAGCUCUGGUGACUCCGAGGGUAGUAAUGCCUGUUCCAGAGCUUGAUAGGGAUAAGGACUUAUACCUCAGGCAGUUUCCUCAUCUUCCCGAGGCUGGAGACGAGUGGAUCGGGUCGGGUUUCUCUCCGCCGAUUGUGGAGGUCUUCGGCAGCAAGGGGGCUCACGGUGAGGGUUCGGCCAAAACCUCCAGUAGCAAGUUAUCACUGGCGGGUCUCCUCAGCAAGGUUGUCUGGCCGUAAAACAAUAGCCUUGUAGAAUUGUGGUUGUGCUUCUGAGGUAGCGAGCAACAUCUUUGUGUUUUGUGCUGGCGAAUUCCAUCUCCAGGCAGUGAGUCAACAGAGGACUUUGAUCAAGGCGAUUGUCGUGACGAGAUUAACGUCGGAUUCAGCUUACAUUUACAGGCGGG